CAUCCGGUCGAUCCUGCCGGAGCGCGACGCUCUCCCCAAGGACGAAGCCAUGCAUGCCCGCUCACCCGGGACGCGGCGGACGGCUCAGGACAACGGUUGCACCCCCCGCGGCGGUCCCUGCUAGCCGGACACCGCUGGCAACCCGGCGCCAAGACGUGCGCGCAAGGGCGGGCGCCCGCGGGCGAGCAGCGUGACGCAGCGACGGCCCGCCCGGGCUUCCGGGGCAUCACCCGGUCGGCGCGGUCGCGGCGCGCCGAGGGCCCGACGCCUGGCGGAGAAUCAGGGUUCGACUCCGGAGAGCGGGCCUGCGAGACGGCCCGCACAUCCAA
rfam:Giardia lamblia ATCC 50803 SC_608 genomic scaffold, whole genome shotgun sequence.